rnacentral:rRNA from 1 species
UACGUAGGGGUCGAGCGUUGUCCGGAGUUACUGGGCGUAAAGCGCGUGCAGGUGGCUCAUUACGCCCGGCGUGAAAGCCCCCGGCUCAACCGGGGAGGGUCGUCGGGGACGGGUGAGCUUGAGGGUAGCAGGGGCUGGUAGAAUUCCCGGUGUAGUGGUGAAAUGCGUAGAGAUCGGGAGGAACACCAAUAGCGAAGGCAGCUCGCUGGGACGGUAUUGACGCUAAGGCGCGAAAGCGUGGGGAGCAAACAGG